CUUGGUGACAACAUAAUAGAGACUGUCAGGCAACGGGGUCCAAGAAUUUAUAACUUCACAGCAAUUAUUGAAAGUGAAAACCACAAAAUUGGACAUGGUGUUGGUUUUUAAACAUUUCAAAACUAAACUAAUAACAAAAACAAACAACACCGAGAGGACUUGAUCUAAGCUUUUUGACCAUGGUGCAAAUGUAUAACAAACACACCAUAAUAUUCAUUUCAGUAGCUAAAUUCCAUUUCGCAGUCCUAACCCAUAUGCCUCAAAUUUAUACCUUUUAAUUAUUCAGAUUGGAUAACCCAUAGCAUAAUUUUUAGCUCAAUUUGAUCGGUAAAAGAAACCAGAUGAUACAAAGUUCAAAUAAACAAAUACUGAAAAGGGGGAAAAACAUGACAGGAAAGUCAGCCAAAGUAUAUUUUAGGGAACAAAGAUAUGCACCUGAACUUUUUGUCUGCACCAAUGAUGCCGAUUUCAAUGUUUUUUGCUGAGAUCUGUCCCUCAAACCUGGGAAAUGCCAACAGAAGGGAUUAGUUUCAAAGACUAACAAAGGCCGGAUACAAACAACAAGGAACAGUAAUCACACACUGUCAUUUUCAAGUUCCUAAUCCAACAAGCUUGGAGCCUUGCUAACAUAAAGGCAGCUCAUGAUGAUUUUACAGGGAUGUGCCUUUGGUAUAUGCCAAGAUCACUAAUAAGAAAUUUCUUUGAUACACUAGAUAAAUAGCCUCAAUAUUUUUCAGUUGAACCAAGAAGCCAAUCUUAGGUGCAUUUUCCUUCUCCAUUUUAUAAUUCCAUUUCGCAGUCCUAACCCAUAAAUUGCGAAAUGGAAUUUAGCUACUGAAAUGAAAAUUUUAAAAGGCAAAAAAGAGGAAUGCUUUGUAAAUUUUGUGAACAAGGUUACUGAUGAUAACACUUCUUUAAUUUUUUCAACCAUUGGAUUGGAAAACUUUUCUUUUGUGAUCUAUAGCAAACGUUGUGUAUCACUUCAAAAUACAUGGAUCUCUACCAUCUUGAAUAAUAGGAGAGUCAAGAAUCUUAGGAUCCAUUCAUAUUUUUAUAAACUCCCCUUUUCUCCUAGUACAUCUGAUUAUCUUUUCGGCUCUUCUUCAUUGCAAGAACUAGAGUUGCGGCUUAAAGUGUACUCUACCAUAAAAUUUCCCUCUACCUCUCUUCAUUUUCAACAGCUAAAAUUUCUCAACUUGUAUGGAGUCUUUUUUGACAUUGAUCCCUCUAGUGACUCUAUGAACCUUAAUUUACCGCUUGUAAAAAAGUUUGAGAUCAGUAACUGCCAUUAGUCGAAUGGAAAAUAUGUUAUUGUACAAGCCUCCCUACUUGAAACUGUUUCCAUAGGACAAGACACUGAUUUCUUUAAGGUGAAAACGCACGAUCCAUGUGCCCAAUCAAUCAAAUUCAAUGCUUUGAAUCUUAAAGAAUUUAAUUACUGUGGUUAUGGUCUGUCACAUAAAAUUCAUCUUCCUGCUUGUGAUUCUGUAAAAAUCACAUUUUUUAGAAGUUAGCAAAGUAGAAUCAGAGGUUUGACGCAUUCCUUUUACCCUUCUCCUUUUCCAGCAAUUCCUUUUACCCUUUUAUAUUAUUUUUUUCUACUACAUGGAACUGUGUAUGUUUGGUUAUCUUGAUUAACAGUUGCACACUUCAGUUUACUUUUACAAAAUUAAGCGUUUCUUUAUGUCAUGCUCAUGCAGGGUCUACCACUAGGCCAUUUACCUGUAUUUUCAGUGUUGAGUCAUUUGGAGCUUGGCCUAGUUACUAGUAUUGAAGUUAUUAUAGGCUUUCUUUAAAACUCACCAGUUCUGAAAACCUUAGAUCUGAAGAAGGGAGUACCCAAAUUCACAAAAGAGAUCCUGAAAUCUAUUGCUGUGCCCGGUUGCUUGGUCUCUUCUCUUCCCAAUUCUAAGGUUUUGAAAGAAUUUAAGAAUAAGUUGUACUCAUUUAAGAAAUGUUCCUCUUUUCUUAUCGUUGAGAUGUCAUAUGAUUAUUAAGUUACAGAAAUAGUAUGGUUGACGAUGCAAAGAGGUCUUAAUAAUGCAAGAAAAUAUGUAUAUCUUGUCAUCACCAGAAGCUAAAAAGAGAAAACCAGUGUUUAAAUAACAUAAAACAAUUGGACGGAGCAACAUCUGUCAAGGAACUUUCCUUCCGACGCGGCAGAAACAGAGCUGCUGUUCUUCAUACAGGAAAGAAAGAAGGAUUUUCAAGAAUUGUCCGGUGAUGACUAUUUUGCUAAGAAUAUUGAGUUUGCUACCUGGCUUAAAGAAGAGAAGAAUGUGUUUUACGUGAGUUGCUUGCAGAAUUUGUCAAAGCUUGGAAUAAAGGAAAGCUUGAAUCGAAUUAUUAUGAAGUCAUUAAAACUGCGCCUCGCACAGCCCAUAAAUGGAAAAUCAAAAAGUAGAUUUGAAGAAAGAGCAAUCAUUUUGAUCCAAUCUCUCUAUAAACCCUUUGUUUGUUUAGAUUUACUUGAAACUCAGUAAGUAUAGAUGUUAUUUAUCUAUAUAAAUUUCGUAGUUCACGCUUGUAAACUUUUGUACUUCAAGAAAUACCAUUUCAUUGUUACCAAAAAAG